AUUGAACGCUGGCGGCAGGCUUAACACAUGCAAGUCGAACGCCCGUAGCAAUACGGGAGUGGCGGACGGGUGAGUAACGCGUGGGAACGUACCCUGAGGUACGGAAUAACCGAGGGAAACUUCGGCUAAUACCGUAUGAGCCCCGCAAGGGGGAAAGAUUUAUCGCCUUGGGAGCGGCCCGCGUCGGAUUAGCUUGUUGGUAGGGUAACGGCCUACCAAGGCGACGAUCAAUAGCUGGCGUGAGAGCGCGACCAGCCACACUGGAACUGAGACACGGUCCAGACUCCUACGGGAGGCAGCAGUAGGGAAUAUUGGACAAUGGGCGAAAGCCUGAUCCAGCCAUGCCGCGUGAUAGAUGAAGGCCCUCUGGGUUGUAAAUAUCUUUUAUCUGGGAAGAAACAAUCUUAUUCUUAAGAUCUUGACGGUACCAGAGGAAUAAAGC
rnacentral:rRNA from 1 species